UGUUACAGUUAUCAAGUUGCCUAUUGUUUUCCAGCCAUUAAAAAAUGAACAAACCAUUCUUAGCUUGCAGGCUGUAUGAAAACAUGUAGUGAGCUGGAGUUGGCCUGUGAGCCAUAGUUUGCCCAUUCCUGCUCUAGAGACAAACUGGGUGGGUUCAAAGGCCAGCUUAGCCACUUACUAGCUGUGUGACAUUGGGAAAGUCACUUAACCUCCUUGAUGAUCACUUUCUUUAUCUGUUAAAUGGAAGUUGUAACUACCUUUCUCAUGGUGAUACUGUAAGGAUUACACAUGUAUACGACACUUAGAAGAAUACUUGGCGUAUCGCUAACAUUUAAUAGUGGUUAUUGCUGUUGCCAUAAAUUUGUAGCUGGGAAUUUGGGGGCUGCAUAAAUGAGAACUUGGUUGGGAUAGAAGUUUUGCUUUUUUUUUUUUUUUUUUGCCAUGAGGUUUAAGAGGGAAGGGAUCUUUGAGCACAAGGCCCAAGUCAUUUCUAGGCUCAAGAUUCAUUCAUUAAUUCACCUGUUCACAGACAUAUAUUGAGGGUUUACUAUGCCAGGAACUGAUAAGGAUUGACGAUGUAGCAGAGCAUAAAACAGGCAGAAUUCUUGCAUUUAAGGAGUUCAUAUCCCAGUGGCGGGAGAUAGACGAUACACAUAUAAAUAAGGGAAUGCCCAAUAUGCUAAAGGUGAUAAAGACUAUCAGGAAAAAUAAAUUGUGUAGGGGGUUUGUAAAUGCUGCAGGAGGAUGAUAAAUUUACACAGGGAGAUCAGAGAAGACCUCACUGGGAAGAGUGAUAUGAACAGAGACCUGAAGGCGGGGAGAGAGUCAGUCAUAUGGAUAUUUGGAGGAAGAGAAUUCCUGGCACCAGAAGCAGCAAAUGCAAGGGCCCUGAGGCUGGAACAUGUUUGGCCUGCUGCAGAACAGCAAGAGCACCAGUGAAGCCAGAGCUGAGUGUGCUAGAGGGAGAAGGGCGAGCAGACGCCAGAGAAAUGGGGACUUGGGGAAGGAGUGCAUUCUAUGUCAGGGCUUUUAGGUCAUUGCAAAGUCUUCCUGUACAAGAAUGCUGGGAAGGUGGUCAGAGUCUUCACACAUUUCUAUUGCAGCUAUUUGUUCUUUUAUUCAACUUAUAUUCAUCACAGCAGCCACUCUGUGCCAGACAGCAUUCUCAUCCCUGUGCCAUAGACACGCACAGAGAUGAGAAUCGCCUCUGCUCUCAAAGAGCUCAAAAUCAAGUAGGGUUAGAUAGCAAUUAAUCAAAUAAACACAUAAAAACAAGACCACUGCUUGGAAGGGUGAUAGGGAGAACUGAUGUGGUCUGGCUAUCCAGGAAGUUGCCUUGAGGAAGGGACAGUGGAGUGCAGGUCUAGGUGUUAGGUAGGUGGGAGCACAGCCCCUUUGAGAAGCUCUGCAAAGGCCAGGGUGGUGAGAAGGUGGAAGCGAGGGGGAGCCGGGUGGGAGCAUGAGGGCUGGAGUGGUGGGCAAUGAAUGGCUGGGUCUCACAAUGAGUGGCUUGUGGGCUGGGCCAAGACCCUCUUUCCCUUCUCCUGAGAGCAAGGAAAUCUCAGGAGUAGAUAAUGGCAUAAUCACAUUUGCAGUUGGAAGAAUUCACUGGCUGCCCUGAUGAAGAGGGAAUUGGAGUGAAUUUGAGGUCACCAGUGAAGAAGGUAUUACAAUUAUCAAGUUGAGGAAUUAUAGUUACUUUGAUAAGAGUGGAGACAGAGAGGCUGAACCGAGGUAGGUAGACCCUAGAAAUAUUUUGCAGGUAGGAUUGGGAGAACUUGGUAGAAGACUAGCCAUGGGGAUUAAGGAAGAAGCAGCUCAAAAAAGCCUCUGAAGUUUGGGAUUUGUGUCCCCAGAAGAAGGGCGGCCAGGAUGUUGGCAGGAGGGUUGGAACCUUGACAGUUGCCAUUGCUGUGAUCUGCCAGAACAGGGCCCCUGGAAGGUAAGGACCACGGCUAGUUCCCUGUGAUGCUCCUCGCCCUGCAACUGGCUCACACAGCAGGUGCUAGAUCUCUGCAGCGGUGACAGACCCUUCAAGCCAGUCCUCCUCCAAAAAGUCAGGAGAGAAACUGAAAAACAAAAGGAAUUGGUCAAAGUAACAUGAGAUAAAAAUUCUAUUUGGAAAUGGUGAGCACGAAGCUUAAAUGUCUGUGGGGUUUCUUCAAUGAGCUUUGCAAAAGUAGCUCAUGAUUUACUCAUCAGUUUCUCGAGGUGACUUUUGGCUGCCCUGGUUCAACUCCUCCUUUCCCCAUGCCCUUCUCUUCCUCUCUUCUCCAGGAUCCUCCCUCCAUUCCCUUUUAGAGGUCCCAUUGAAAAGGACCCUCAGAGCUCCUUUCUACUUCAAGGCCAGUGCACAUGCUGCCUGCUUGACUGGGAAACCUCCCCUCUCCACCACACUGCACAUCCAUAGCUCUUCUCUCAGUUAACUUCCUUUUGUCCUUGCCUGCCAGUUGUCACCUGCUCAGAUAGCUUCCUUGAUUCCCUUAUUUGUGUCAUUCAUUCUCAAAGCAUCCUGCAGUUUCCCACUGUGGCACUUUUCAUGGCAAUCAUUAAUUACUUAUUCUUAUUAUUUUUCUCUGCCUCUCAGUAGUUUAUAAUCUCUUGUGCUUAGGAUCAUGCUAGCAUAUAGAUGUGUCCAACGAAUGGUUGCUUACAAUGGUUAGGGAAUGAAUAAAUGGGUCUGGGUUGUGCAGUCUUAGGGUUGAUGCAGCCACCAACCAACUUAAAUCAUCCAAUGGUGUUUUAGAAAGAACAGCUUCUGCUUUACAUCUCCUAAGCAUAUCUGCAUUUUAUGAGACAAAAUACACUUUAGACAAAAGGAAUGUACCUCUUGUAAUGGAGAAAAUAUUUUAAAGUAUUAAAUGCUUGUGGUUUUCAUUCAGUGCCUCCAUAAAUCAUAUACCCUACAGUCAUUCCACCAUUAUUGCUCCAGUGAAGGGUGAAUGCCACCUUGAGAAGGAAUACGAUAUGGGGCAGGAGAAGCUCAAGCCAGAUGAGGAGAUGGGAAGCCACUUCCUGGCCUGGCAGCAGCAGAGAAGAAAAUGAAGGGCACAAAUAUGUAAGGGAAGCAGGCAACGUGCCACAGGUGUUCUGACUGUCCCUGCAGGGAACCCAUGCCAAGGCCACAGUCUCCAUAUCACAAAGAAAAUAAAAACAGCAUUAAAGCUGGCCUUUCUAUGUCGAAAGCCUGAUUAUGGAGGAAGCAUGGUCCUGUUGGCGAGGCUGCAUGCUGCCGGUCAGCGGAUCCCAGGAAGGCGAUUAUCUAGACACACAAGACUUUUCUGAACAAUCUGGGAAGAGAAGAGAGGCCUCAAAGACACACUUGAAAGGUGAUUGGAGAGGUGGAAGGCAUCAGCCCUGUGAGGGAGAUCAUUGCAGCGUUUCCACAGUUACAGGCCUGGCUGUGAGACAGUUCUUUGUAUAAAACCCACACAAAUCGACACUGGAGCCUGAAAGUCCCUGCACGAGCUAUUGAGAUACUUCCGCACUUUAGCAAAACCUUGAGGGGAAAAUGGUUCUGCGUCUCACAUUGCUAAGGAAUUCGCAAUAGGGCAUCUCUGAGCUUCUCCUCUCCUGUGUCUGCCUCAUCUCUCUCCCUGUCUAGCCCAUCCUCGGAAGAAUCAGAGCAGGAACUGUUCAUGGGUGAGGAUCAAGCUCUAUGUGCCAGGCUCUGAGCUGGGAGCUCUCAGACAUUGCCCCUUUCCAAUCUCAAGUCAACCAAACCAAGGAAGAAAUAGAGAUUCAGAAACAAAAAAGGCCGCUUCAGGAUUUGAACCUGGGACUCUCUACCUCCAAUGCCCUAGUUCUUUCCACUAAGAAAACCUUAAGAUCCCAACACCCCCUUUCCCUCCUGUCUCUGCCAGCAUCUCAACUCCAGCACAAGGAGCACUCUCAAACCCCUUCUGGAACAUUCCUUAAACCAUAUUGCCCAUGGCCUUUACCUGGGAUCCUCUCCUCCUAUCUCUCUUGUCCUGUGCAUGGCCUUCCAUAGCUCUGGGAAACUUGCUCUCUCAUCUUUCCUGGGGGGCAUCCUGCCUGGUUCUAUGGUUCAAUGUGUGCAUAUCUGUUCCCUGGCCCAGUUACUUCCCAGAGCACAUCUGCAGUGACACCCCAUUUCCCACAAUUCUCGUUACACUGUUACACUUGGCCCAGUGUAAAAAUGGAUUGGUUCUGGCCCCAGUUCUAGUAUUUGUCAACUCUGUGAUCUUUGGCUGGUGAUCCGAUGUUUCCUGGCCUUGCUUUCCUCAUUUUGAUGGAGCUAACAAUCCCUAUCCUAACAGAGGUCUUUGAUGAAAACGAGAAUAAUAAAUUGAAAACAAUGCCUCAAACUUGUAAAAUUAGUUUUGUCAUUAUCAAUAUUUACGCCUUACAUUUUCCUCUAGCACAUUUUGCCCUUUGAAUGCCCUCCUGAAAAGGAUGUAGGAAAAAGUAUUUUCCCAAUUUUGAUAGACGGGAAAACAAGAAGCUAUAAAAGUGGAGUGAUUUACUUAAGGGAAAAAGAAAAAAAA